UCCAAUUCUAAUUCAUGUGGCUUGGGUUGCACAAGCGAUCGAUUGCUUCCCAGUGGUCUUUUGCCGCCGGGGCGUCAGCUCACCAGUGAACAUGCGCCGCGCGUCCCCAUUCGAGUACCGAAUCCCGCCUUUCUGGUUCCUCUUUCUGCGAAUCCUCUUCACGCUCACAGUUCGAUCGUUUCCGCUGUGCGUGUUUCCCUUUCUCCGUCGAUGGCUCCUUGUUCCGCACUUCGAUCUUCGCCGUCGUUCUCGAAGCUCGCUUGCCGACGCGGGGUUUGCUCGCUUCACUCAGGUGCCAUGCUAGGAAGUAAUGAUUGUUCAAUGGGUGCGGAUGCAUGCUGAUACGAGGCAGUGAUGAAACUUUCUGUUCUUCUGACAUCUAAGGGUCUUAUUAAGCGGCUAGGAAAUAUCAAUGUCUACUUUGGGCGGAGGCUCAAGGAGGACCACGGCGGCCUCGGGAUUCUUACAGUCUGGAGAGAUUUGUUCCUUGGCCAAAUUGGAUUUCGAAAGCUUGGCAAUGAAGGGAAGAGGUGAUCCUAUCAGCUGGGGGAUUGGAUGCAGUUGUGUUCAUUACGGCCACUGUUUUCUGGCUUUGUCUUGCCCUCCAUAUCACAUCAAUUUCAGCUUGUAUUCUUCUCUACUUUGAGUACAAAGUCAUUUCUAAAUUGAGUCAGUUUCAUAUUACUCGGUCAUUUCCCAAUUCUAGCCAAUUUACUGUGCUUGUUCGUGGAAUUCCAAGAUCAACUUAAGAGCCACUAAGUGAUACUGUCAAAAUUAUUUUCACCCGAGUUACUACCUUCCAUAUCAAAUAAUGCAUUGGGUUGGAAAGUCCAAAAAAUAAUGAGCAGUGCAGGAAAAGUUUAUAGGAAGUUGGUGCACUUCAACCCUUGUGCUCAUGAUAAGAGAUUUAUACUUAAAAUUUCCAGUUGUAGUCUUCGUACGUGGAGGAACAUGAAAUUCUUUCCAGUAGUUUUGCAGUCAAUAUGAGAGUAACAAGAAAAUGAUCCUUGAUCAUUCUUCGACUGAAAAAAAAAGAUCAUGAAUAUUUACAGUGCAAGAUACGAAACUGGCAGGGGAAUGUGACCUAUUGUCCACAGCACAACAGUUUUUUCGUUUGUAAUGGCACAAAUAAUUGAUCUCGGUGUCUUUGGCCUCAAGGAAUCGACUGUUCCUUCAGGGUUCAUGAUUUCCCUUGUUGAUCUUAACCAUGCUUUUUAAUGCGUACUGCAGGCAGCGGUUUCAUCCACUGUUCACUAAUCUCCUAGCGCAGGACUUGAUCGAGAUGGCUAAGGAACAUGAAGAAACUGGAAGAAUGGAACAAAUGCACGAGCAACUGUGUUUCUGCCUACUGCCAGCUCCCUGCAGAAAGCCCAAAUAGUUGGCUCUUCUCACUGCGGAUCAGGAAUCUGGCAAAGGAAAUUAAGGGCAAUAGCUUCUUGAUUGUCUGAGUAUACUGGUUAGUACACAAGAUUAUAUCAAUCUUUUUAAUUUGCUUUAGUCCGCACCUGUUCUUGAGUGUCGAUAUAGAUUAUGGAUGAAUAGCCAGAAAUGCAUAAAGGAAUUUUACAGUGCCAUCUCCUUUCAUUACAACAAAUAGCAAACCUGUAAGAUCAGUUGCCAUUAAUAUUGAUGUUUUUUCAUUUGUUUACAAAUGUUGCAUAAUACAGUUGUAGAAUAUAAGAUUAGUUUCUUGGAUGGAAAAUUGGGUAGUUGGAUAAUAGAUGGGAACUUAGGCAAAUGGAUAAAUUUUAACAUUUUUAAAAUUGGGCUUGCGAGACUGGCAUACCAUGCUUAACUGCUAGCUAGGUCUAUGUUGUGCUCAGCCCUCUCAUAACUUGUUGUGCUGCUACAUAGGAAGAGGAUUAGAAAUUAAAAGUGUGCUUACUUUUAGAGAGCAUUUAAAAGCUUUUUCUUUAUAUUGGAUUGUAAUAGUUUGCUAGAAGGUAAGGUAUGUAGAAAUGAUGGAAGUUUGUCCUAGAAGACCAAAGUAUGUCAUUAGAAAACAAUGUCUUGGUGUUUUGCUUUAGUACAAGGUAUUAAUCCUAAAAGUCUCUUGAUGCAAAGAAGAGUCUAAAUCAAGAGUUGAUUCAAUUAGGGAGAAAUUUAGUCAAGGCCUUUUUCCUCAAGUGAUCUGUAGCACUUAGUGCGAGAAGUUCUAGGUUUAUAGUUACUAUGGAGGCUUAUCUUUUUUAUCAUUUAAAAGAUGAAUUAAUGGGCAUUAUAGCGUACAUAGUAGAAAUAAAAUUUUCAUACCACAGUUU